AUGAGGGUCCCCACUCAGCUUCUGGGGUUGCUGCUGCUCUGGCUUACAGGUGCCAGAUGUGACAUCCAGAUGACCCAGACUCCAGCCUCCCUGACUGAAUCUCUGGGAGAUAGUGCCUCAAUAACUUGCCAAGCAAGUGAGGACAUUUACAAUGAUUUAGCAUGGUAUCAGCAAAAACCAGGGAAACCUCCUAAGCUCCUGAUCUAUAAUGCAAACAGCUUGGAAGAUGGGAUCCCAUCGAGGUUCAGUGGCAGUGGAUCUGUCACACAGUUUUCUCUCAAUAUCAGCAGCCUGCAGCCUGAAGAUUUUGCAACUUACUACUGUCAUCAGGGUUGGAGGACCCCAUCCACAGUGAUUCAAGCCAUGACACAAACCACACAGAGAAGCAGAAGUGAGAAGUCAGGCUGCACCAAUUGCUCCUUCAGUGUUUUCCAGUUACUGAUAAUGUUCUCUUAG